AUUGAACGCUGGCGGCAUGCUUUACACAUGCAAGUCGAACGGCAGCGGGGAGGAGCUUGCUUCUCUGCCGGCGAGUGGCGAACGGGUGAGUAAUACAUCGGAACGUGUCGAGAAGAGGGGGAUAACCACCCGAAAGGGUGGCUAAUACCGCAUAAAUUCUGAGGAAGAAAGCUGGGGACCUAGGAAUAGGCCUAGCGCUUUUUGAGCGGCCGAUGUCGGAUUAGCUAGUUGGUGAGGUAACGGCUCACCAAGGCGAAGAUCUGUAGCGGGUCUGAGAGGAGGAUCCGCCACACUGGGACUGAGACACGGCCCAGACUCCUACGGGAGGCAGCAGUGGGGAAUUUUGGACAAUGGGGGCAACCCUGAUCCAGCCAUGCCGCGUGUAUGAAGAAGGCCUUAGGGUUGUAAAGUACUUUUGUUAGGGAAGAAAAGUCAGCUGUGAAUAAUGGCUGAUACUGACGGUACCUAAAGAAUAAGCACCGGCUAACUACGUG
rnacentral:rRNA from 1 species